CACGGGUGCUUGCACCUGGUGGCGAGUGGCGAACGGGUGAGUAAUACAUCGGAACAUGUCCUGUAGUGGGGGAUAGCCCGGCGAAAGCCGGAUUAAUACCGCAUACGAUCCACGGAUGAAAGCGGGGGACCUUCGGGCCUCGCGCUAUAGGGUUGGCCGAUGGCUGAUUAGCUAGUUGGUGGGGUAAAGGCCUACCAGGGGCCCAGGAAACCUAAAGGGAGAAGAGGACCAGCCACAUUGGGAGAAUGACGGGACUCUGACACCUACGUUUCUUUACGGAAUUCGGUUGCGUUCUAAUCGGUGGCGGAAACUAAAAAUUCGCUGGUUGAAGGUUUAAAUGGUUUUGAUUGGAAAACGCUAAAAUGGAGAGUUUUCUAGAAUUUUUGGAGGCUGGCCUUCGGGGGGGGGGAAUCAAGUAAAGGCCCGGGAAAAGGUUGCCGGAAGAAUCUUCCAGGGAAAGGGGGGCCGGCCAAGGAAACGAAUAAGGGAAAACAAAAUGGGGCGGAAAGGCGGGGCAAAUUUGAUAACCCUGAAGGGAACUUGAGUCCCAAUGAGGGGGGGCAGGCUUCCGGCUGGCGGGUCAUGAUCCUUCGGAAGGUCAACUAACGAAAACAUGUACGACUUU
rnacentral:rRNA from 1 species